rnacentral:rRNA from 1 species
UACGUAGGGUGCAAGCGUUAAUCGGAAUUACUGGGGCGUAAAGCGUGCGCAGGCGGUUGUGCAAGACCGAUGUGAAAUCCCCGGGCUUAACCUGGGAAUGGCAUUGGUGACUGCACGGCUAGAGUGUGUCAGAGGGGGGUAGAAUUCCACGUGUAGCAGUGAAAAUGCGUAGAGAUGUGGAGGAAUACCGAUGGCGAAGGCAGCCCCCCUGGGCCAAUACUGACGCUCAU